AAGGGUCGUACAAAAACAAUUCAUAUUCUUCAAAUUAAUACAGUACAAUAUUUGAGGAAAAUAGCAAAGCUCAAACACCGAUGCUUUGGUACAAAAAUCCAAGAAAACUCAAACUGUGAAAAUGGAAAGAUGUCUUCUUUCAUCCACAGUUUCAUGUUUAAGAAUUUGUCAGUUACCCAGAAUUCUUCUUCCUUAUAAUCUGUCAUUUCCUAGAAGUUGUAGCACAAAACACGGGUUUUGUACAAGUUUUUCCACUAGAGCCAAAACAAAUGGAGCAUUUUGCACCAAGGCUACUUUAUCUGAAUUGGGUAACAAGAAAGUAUACUCAAAGAUUGGUGCUGACUCAACUGGAAGUAUUCCCUCUAGUGAGCUACUUCAAGUUGUUGAAGUUGCUGCCAAAACUGGUGCUCAGGUUGUAAUGGAUGCUGUGAAUAAGCCUCGAAAUGUUACCUAUAAAGGGCUCACUGACCUAGUGACUGACACAGAUAAAAGUAGUGAAGUUGCUAUCCUUGAGGUCGUGAGGAAGAAUUUUCCAGAUCAUCUAAUCCUUGGGGAGGAAGGAGGAAUUAUUGGAGACUCAUCAUCUGAUUAUCUCUGGUGCAUUGACCCUUUAGAUGGAACAACAAAUUUCGCGCAUGGCUAUCCUAGCUUUGCGGUCUCUGUGGGUGUUCUUUUUAGAGGGAAGCCUGCUGCAGCUGCUGUGGUUGAGUUUGUUGGUGGCCCUAUGUGUUGGAAUACUCGCACUUUUUCUGCAGCUGCAGGCAAAGGAGCCUUUGCUAAUGGCGAAAUGAUUCAUGUCAGUGGAACUGACAAGGUGGAACAAUCUCUUCUAGUGACUGGAUUUGGAUAUGAUCAUGAUGAUCCAUGGGCAACCAAUAUGGAAUUGUUCAAGGAAUUUACUGAUGUCAGCCGGGGUGUGAGAAGGCUUGGUGCUGCUGCAGUUGACAUGUGUCAUGUUGCUUUGGGGAUUGCUGAAGCAUAUUGGGAAUAUCGUCUAAAGCCAUGGGACAUGGCUGCAGGAGUUCUGAUAGUUGAAGAGGCUGGAGGGACAGUUUCGUGUAUGGAUGGUGGAAGGUUUUCAGUAUUUGAUAGAUCCGUCUUGGUAUCCAACGGUUUGCUCCAUGCCAAGCUCCUUGAGAAGAUUGGUCCAGCAACAGAGAAUUUGAAGAGCAAAGGGAUUGAUUUCUCAGUGUGGUUCAAGCCAGAAAAUUACCAUACAGAAGUUUGAUACAUCCCUAGGUUUUGUUUUUAGAUGUCCUGCUUGAAAGAUUCUGCUACGAUCAGAUUUUGGUUAGCUAGCUUUGUGAAUUGCUUGCCAUGUUCAAUUAUUGGGCAGAAGAGUUGAUCUUCUGCAUUGUCGAGUUACCGCUUUUUAAGGUCAAUACUUUCAGUAUCAGAUGUUUCUCCUGAUUGAAGUCUUAGCAUACGGCAAGCAGCUGCUGAGGAAUAUGGCAUCUCUAAGACCAGAUUUUAUUUCGAUAUGUCCAGAUCAGUCCUUAUCUAAUUUAUAUUCUCCAUUUCCUUGAGAUCAUAGCCUCACUUGUGGGAAUACACUGGGUAUGUUGUUGUUGUUGCAUCGCACAAAUGAUCUUUGGCCAAUUCAAUUUUUUUUUUUGUUUUUAGCAUGAAUACAUUCAAAGAAAGAGUGAGCAGAUAAUCUAGGUUAGAUGAAGGUAUAAUCCUUAUUUAUUCCAGUUACUGUAAUAUCAAGCCAGCAUCAACACAGUGAUGCUUUCAAGACUUUGUUCUUAUAAGCAUCACUGUGCGUCACGCCCACAAACUGGGUGCAACAUGAUUGGCACCUGGCCUAAUUUACUCGCCGAGUGAGCUAUGAAUUUAUCAUGUAUAACUUAGUCCCAAAAGUUUUGGGGCUUUACACUGGCAUGCAUUUGCUUAAUAUCUGUUCAUAGUAGGAAUCACUAGACUAAGAGCCUGUUUGGAUUGA